GACGAACGCUGGCGGCGUGCUUAACACAUGCAAGUCGAACGGUGAAGCGCCUUCCUUUUUGGUGGGUGUGGAUGAGUGGCGAACGGGUGAGUAACACGUGAGUAACCUGCCCCCUUCUUCUGGAUAACCGCAUGAAAGUGUGGCUAAUACGGGAUAUUCUGGGUCUGUCGCAUGAUGGGUCUGGGAAAGAUAUUGUUUCGGUGGGGGAUGGGCUUGCGGCCUAUCAGCUUGUUGGUGGGGUGAUGGCCUACCAAGGCGGUGACGGGUAGCCGGCCUGAGAGGGUGGACGGUCACACUGGGACUGAGACACGGCCCAGACUCCUACGGGAGGCAGCAGUGGGGAAUAUUGCACAAUGGGCGCAAGCCUGAUGCAGCGACGCCGCGUGAGGGAUGGAGGCCUUCGGGUUGUGAACCUCUUUCGCUAGUGAAGCAGGCCUGCCUCGUUUGUGGGUGGGUUGACGGUAGCUGGAUAAGAAGCGCCGGCUAACUACGUG
rnacentral:rRNA from 1 species